rfam:Felis catus isolate Cinnamon breed Abyssinian chromosome D1, whole genome shotgun sequence.
GCCUUGGUGGCUCAGUCUUUUGAGCAUCUGACUUCGGCUCAGGUCACGAUCUCACAGUUCGUGGGUUCGAGCCCCGCGUCAGGCU